rnacentral:rRNA from 1 species
GGGUGAGUAACGCGUAGGAAUCUACCCAGUAGUGGGGGAUAGCCCGGGGAAACUCGGAUUAAUACCGCAUACGCCCUACGGGGGAAAGCGGGGGACCUUCGGGCCUCGCGCUAUUAGAUGAGCUUGCGUUGGAUUAGCUUGUUGGUGAGGUAAUGGCUCACCAAGGCGACGAUCCAUAGCUGGUCUGAGAGGAUGAUCAGCCACACCGGGACUGAGACACGGCCCGGACUCC